rnacentral:other from 1 species
UUUUGCCUGCGGUGUUGGUGAACUUCGAGUUUAAUUCGAACCGAACACCAAUUCACAUUGGGAGCUUUAUAUUAAAACGCCGACAGCAUGCCUGAUUUAUUCAGGAAGCUGAAAGUGUUUUUGCGGGCACCCACCUGCCUAGGGCGGGUUCGUGAAAUCUGGAAGAUAACCGCACAUGCGGGCUUGCU